GGAAGGAGAGGGGGCGUGCUAUAAUGCAGUCGAGCGAACAGAGAAGGAGCUUGCUCCUUUGACGUUAGCGGCGGACGGGUGAGUAACACGUGGGCAACCUACCCUAUAGUUUGGGAUAACUCCGGGAAACCGGGGCUAAUACCGAAUAAUCUAUGUUGCCUCAUGGUGACAUACUGAAAGACGGUUUCGGCUGUCGCUAUAGGAUGGGCCCGCGGCGCAUUAGCUAGUUGGUGAGGUAAUGGCUCACCAAGGCGACGAUGCGUAGCCGACCUGAGAGGGUGAUCGGCCACACUGGGACUGAGACACGGCCCAGACUCCUACGGGAGGCAGCAGUAGGGAAUCUUCCACAAUGGGCGAAAGCCUGAUGGAGCAACGCCGCGUGAGUGAAGAAGGUUUUCGGAUCGUAAAACUCUGUUGUAAGGGAAGAACAAGUACAGUAGUAACUGGCUGUACCUUGACGGUACCUUAUUAGAAAGCCACGGCUAACUACGUGCCAGCAGCCGCGGUAAUACGUAGGUGGCAAGCGUUGUCCGGAAUUAUUGGGCGUAAAGCGCGCGCAGGCGGUCCUUUAAGUCUGAUGUGAAAGCCCACGGCUCAACCGUGGAGGGUCAUUGGAAACUGGGGGACUUGAGUGCAGAAGAGGAAAGUGGAAUUCCAAGUGUAGCGGUGAAAUGCGUAGAGAUUUGGAGGAACACCAGUGGCGAAGGCGACUUUUCUGGUCUGUAACUGACGCUGAGGCGCGAAAGCGUGGGGAGCAAACAGGAUUUAGAUACCCUGGUAGUCCACGCCGUAAACGAUGAGUGCUAAGUGUUAGGGGGUUUCCGCCCCUUUAGUGCUGCAGCUAACGCAUUAAGCACUCCGCCUGGGGAGUACGGUCGCAAGAUUGAAACUCAA
rnacentral:rRNA from 1 species